rnacentral:rRNA from 1 species
GGGUAUCUCGAGUGCCACCUGAUGAAGGUGGCUUUUCCUAKGUCUAAAAAGCCUUGGGAAUAAGAGGGGGGCAAGACUGGUGUCAGCCGCCGCGGUAACACCAGCCCCUCGAGUGGUGGGCAUGAUUAUUGGGCCUAAAGCGUCCGUAGCCGGCCCGGUAAWUCUCCCGUUAAAUCCAGCGUCUUAAGCGUUGGACUGCGGGAAAUACUGUUUGKCUWGAGAGCGGGAGAGGUCAGCGGUAUUCCGGGGGUAGGGGCGAAAUCCUUUGAUCCCCGGAGGACCACCAGUGGCGAAGGCUGCUGACUAGAACACGUCUGACGGUCAGGGACGAAAGCUGGGGUAGCGAACCGGAUUAGAUACCCGGGUAGUCCCAGCCGUAAACGAUGCAUGCUAGGUGUUGGGUUGUCCWCGAGCCACCCCAGUGCCGCAGGGAAGCCGUUAAGCAUGCCGCCUGGGAAGUACGAUCGCCAGGUUGAAACUU